UCUCCUUUUACUCUGCACCACAAGAAAAAGAUAAGAGAAUUGUUAUUUGCAUCUUCAAAUUCUUCCUCUCAAUUCCGUAACCCUUUCAAAAGAACACACUAAUGGAUUCUUGCCCAGAGUCAUAGUCAAGGAGAAGACUUUUUUGGAGGAGAUUCGAAUAGGAAAGUACUACUGAAAAUUGAUGGAAGAGAGUCUUCAAAGCAGCAGAGAAGUCUUUUGGGAACUGAUCGCUACCUGAAAGGAAAACAUUUGAAAACAUGAGCUAGAAUGCCCAGGAGCUGGCGUAGUGGCGCCAAAAGGUAGAAUGCCCCGUUUUGGUACAGCGCCACAAUGCUCCGGAUAUUGACAAAAAAUGGGAAGGUCACACACAUGACCAUGUGAUGGGCACCGCGGUGCCUCGCCCUAUGCGAGGCCCAGCGCUUCGACAAGGGGUGUCAAUGCCGUGACACUGCCUCACUUUUUAUAAAAAGAAAUUUUUCUUUCAGGGUUUGAUGAUGGUUGAAGGCAUGGAGGCUGAGGAAUUCUUCAAAAUUUCUCUUUCUCUUCGUAUUUCUAUCAUCUUUAGGUUAGAUUUUUAAUUUCUUUUGGGUGUAAUCAAAGAUUUAUAGCUCCCCCUCUUCCUCUUGUCUAUGAGAUGUUAAGCUAAGGUUUGCUAGUUUUUUAGAGCAAGUUCUAUGUUGUUUUGUGAGAUUUCUUAAUGAAUUAUCUAUGCAUUUUGGUUUGUGUUUUCUUUGAA